UUUGUUUUAACUUUUGUCAUCUACUUUGUCCGGCAUGGUAUCACGCUCCAUCAUGAGGCUUGGAGGAUAUUGGCCUGGUUUAGGAUCCAUGCAGGCCGUUAGUGAAGAUGCUACUAAGAGUGCAGCUAAUAUGAGUGAAAGUUUCAUUUUUGCAGUCUCCUAUAUAGUAAAAAAAAAUAUAACAAAAUAGAUCUUCUAAAAUAUAUUUACGACCACUUGCCCUUCUAAUUUGUUACUGAAAGACAGCAAUAGAUUUAUCAU
rnacentral:sRNA from 1 species